ACAAAAGCGAGAAGAAUUUGAAGCUAAGCCAGUGGACUUUGUUUGACAAAUCCAGCUGAUUCUCAAUUAUCCUGACUAAUGAGGCACAGAAAUUGCCUGAGAACAAUGAUGGCCUCUUUGGAAAUAUGCCUAAAUUAAGAAACGUGCCUUCAGUUUCUUCAGAAGAGCAAGCAUGUGUUUGCAUACACACCUCAGCUUGGCUUGUUUUUUCUUCCUCCCUGUGGUGAUUGUGAUGAGCUAUUUACCACCUAUCAUGUGGCAAGCUUGAUGCUCUACUUCAGAGGUUCUAAGAUAAUUUGUACAUCACUUUGCCUGCCUUAAAGAUGCUCAUAAACCAACAAAGAGAGGCAUCUGAUCCAUGUGUUAUCAA